AGAGUUUGAUCAUGGCUCAGAAUCAACGCUGGCGGCGUGCCUAACACAUGCAAGUCGAACGAGAAAGUGGAGCAAUCCAUGAGUAAAGUGGCGCACGGGUGAGUAACACGUGACUAACCUACCCUUGAGUGGGGAAUAACUUCGGGAAACCGAGGCUAAUACCGCAUAACACCUACGGGUCAAAGGAGCAAUUCGCUUAAGGAGGGGGUCGCGGCAGAUUAGUUAGUUGGCGGGGUAAUGGCCCACCAAGACGAUGAUCUGUAUCCGGCCUGAGAGGGCGCACGGACACACUGGAACUGAAACACGGUCCAGACUCCUACGGGAGGCAGCAGUGGGGAAUUUUGCGCAAUGGGGGAAACCCUGACGCAGCAACGCCGCGUGGAGGAUGAAGUCUCUUGGGACGUAAACUCCUUUCGAUCGGGACGAUAAUGACGGUACCGGAAGAAGAAGCCCCGGCUAACUUCGUGCCAGCAGCCGCGGUAAUACGAGGGGGGCGAGCGUUGUUCGGAAUUAUUGGGCGUAAAGGGUGCGUAGGCGGUUCGGUAAGUCUUGUGUGAAAUCUUCGGGCUCAACUCGAAGUCUGCACGAGAAACUGCCGGGCUUGAGUGUGGGAGAGGUGAGUGGAACUCCCGGUGUAGCGGUGAAAUGCGUAGAUAUCGGGAGGAACACCUGUGGCGAAAGCGGCUCACUGGACCACAACUGACGCUGAUGCACGAAAGCUAGGGGAGCAAACAGGAUUAGAUACCCCGGUAGUCC
rnacentral:rRNA from 1 species